UCUAAUUCUAGUACAAGAACACUAGAAUUUAGUUCGAACUGUAUUCGUACAGUGUUAAUAUUUGGGGGGCAGAUGGUAAUUUUAACCACAAAUUAAUUAACCAUAGCCCUUACAAAACAUAUCACAUCUUUUACAUUUUCUUUUUCAAUCAGUCCAAAAAUUAAAGACCACACUUGGCCUUCGAAGCAACGUAAAUUCAAAUGCUCUGGUCUUGCUUUAUAUGGUCGGUUCCAACCGUACUCAACCUAAACAUAAAAGCAAUAUGGUCCUGUGCUCGCUCAUAAAAAGACAAGUGCCUGAGUUUACUCUGAACAUAUGUAUAUAUACAUAUAUAUGAAAUUAAUGCAGCACAUUGUCUUGGCUAGAAAAUAUUUACUAUAGAUUAUGGAAAAAGUCUCGGUAGUGAACCAGUGAAAUAUUGAUUAGUUAUCUGGCUAUAAUAAAUAUUUUCGAAUAGUGGAGUGCUCUGUAUUUGGGUUUAUUUUAUUUUAUUAUCGGCUUGGAUCGUUCUAUGUAUAGUGUGGAGAAUUUGUAUUGUAGGGUGUGUAUAAAUAUAUGCUUACCGUCAACAGUCUGUGAACAUCACAUUACAUGUAUACUGCCAUGCACAGGAAUGAGAGGAGAAUUAAUGCACAUCUUGCUUACAUAUAUGACUGGCACACGCUGAUGUGUUUAGGGGUUUUAACUGUUCAAAUUUCAUGAUUAAUAUAAGAAAGACCAAAAUAAAAAAAAUGUAAAAAUGUUACGUUAAUGCCUUUGGUGCAGGGAAGGGUAAAAACCUAUUAACUCCAGUUUCCUACCAAUCACUGUCACAUGUUUUAUUGUAGUUUUGUUUGGUUUUGUUACAAUAUUAUUCCUGUUUUUAGUAUUAUUAAUUUAUCAGAAAGGUCCAGACAUGUCAACCAGAAAUCAGAUAUUUCAAACUCUGCAUUAUUUAUUUGAUGCUUUUCUUUUCUUUUUUUCUGGUUGUGUUUUUGUUGUUUUUUUGUUUUGUUUUGUUUUUUUUCUUUCCUGGUCAAUUGUCUUUUAUACACUUGGGAUUAUAAAUGAUGUAUAUGUUGAAAUUAAGACCUUGAAAUACUCUGUUAAUUGUGCAAGUAACUGAUUUGUUUUCUCCAUCCUUAUAUUGACUUCUGGGUCUUCACUGCAUAAAAAUACCGUUUAUAAUCUGCUUGAUGAAAAUCUUUAGAUAAUGUGUGUCUUUGUAUGUAUGCAAAUGCAUGUGUUCACGUUUGUGCAAAAAUGGAUUUUACCAAAGGGGUGCACAGAUGUCUGUUUUUAACUGGUUGCAAGUAGAG